GGGGCAGAUCGCAGGCAGCCUCGCAGUCAUCGGUCCAUGGAAACCAUCCGGACACCACGACAAACGUCUUUUCCUCUAUGCGGGCCGCCGCACUCCACUUGAGGAAUUCUGUUAUGGUGGCUAAGGAAAGACACCUUCCCGAGUGGUUUCCUUCUGGACGUCGUCCACUUUAAUUCUGAUGACAUGCUCCACAUCAGCAGCUGAUCGGACAGGAACAGAUAACCCACUUGGCAUCAAGAUCCGUCCGCAUGAGGAGCUGCACAAUCCACAUGCAAGCUUUAUGUAAUGUUAGAAACGGUACACUGUGAAUCAUUGUUUGUUUAUUUUCUUAUUAUAAAACCUGAAAGAACUGAACUCACAGGGUCAUGCUGACAAUUCCAGCUUUAGCAAACAGAACUUUGUAACUUGAGUAAAGAGAAAACGUAUAAAAAUCACGCAGAAAUGUAUUGCCAGUUGACUUCCAGCAAAUUGUCAGGAAAAAGCCUGGAAAAAAUGUCAACCUAAAAUAAAAUAUCAACCUAGAAAGACA
ensembl:lncRNA